rnacentral:rRNA from 1 species
UACGUAGGUGGCAAGCGAUACUCGGAAUCACUAGGCGUAAAGCGCAGGUAGGAGGUUGGUAAGUCUGUUGUGAAAGCUCCCGGCUCAACUGGGAGAGGUCAACGGAAACUACUAGGCUAGAGUGCGGUAGAGGUAGCUGGAAUUCCCGGUGUAGCGGUGAAAUGCGUAGAUAUCGGGAGGAAUACCUAUGGCGAAAGCAGGCUACUGGACCGUCACUGACUCUGAUCUGCGAAAGCUAGGGGAGCAAACAGG